rnacentral:rRNA from 1 species
UACGAAGGGGGCGAGCGUUGUUCGGAAUUACUGGGCGUAAAGGGCGCGUAGGCGGCCCCUUUUGUCGCGUUUGAAAGCCCCGGGCUCAACCUGGGAGGUGCGCGCGAAACGGGGGGGCUUGAGUUCGGGAGAGGAGAGUGGAAUUCCCAGUGUAGAGGUGAAAUUCGUAGAUAUUGGGAAGAACACCGGUGGCGAAGGCGGCUCUCUGGACCGAGACUGACGCUGAGGCGCGAAAGCGUGGGGAGCAAACAGG